rnacentral:tRNA from 1 species
UAGAUUAUAGUUUAAUAAAAUUAAUUUUUUACAAAAAUUAGUUAUACACAUUGUUGUAUUAAUCUAA